rnacentral:rRNA from 1 species
AACGAGUUUCCGGGCUUGCUCGGAAACUAGUGGCGAAACGGCUGAGUAACGCGUAGGUGACCUACCCCGUAGUGUGGAAAUAACUGCCCCGAAAAGGGUAGCUAAAUACCGCAUUGUUGAGCCGACAUCAAUGUCGUCUCCCAAAGCAGAAAAUGCGCUAUGGGCGGGGCCUGCCGUUCGAUUAGCUAGUUGGUGGGGUAAUGGCUCACCAAGGCGACGAUCGAUAGGUGGUCUGAGAGGACGAUCACCCAGACUGGGACUGAGACACGGCCCAGACUCC